rnacentral:rRNA from 1 species
CAGUCGCCGCGGUAAUACGUAGGUCCCGAGCGUUGUCCGGAAUUACUGGGCGUAAAGCGUGCGUAGGCGGUGAGUUAAGUCUGCUGUGAAAUCCCCGGGCUCAACCUGGGAAUGGCAGUGGAUACUGGCUCGCUAGAGUGUGUCAGAGGAUGGUGGAAUUCCCGGUGUAGCGGUGAAAUGCGUAGAGAUCGGGAGGAACAUCAGUGGCGAAGGCGGCCAUCUGGGACAACACUGACGCUGAGGCACGAAAGCGUGGGGAGCAAACAGGAUUAGAUACCCCCGUAGUCCCUGUCUCUUAUAC